AGUGAACGCUGGCGGUAGGCCUAACACAUGCAAGUCGAACGGCAGCACAGUAAGAGCUUGCUCUUACGGGUGGCGAGUGGCGGACGGGUGAGGAAUACAUCGGAAUCUACUUUUUCGUGAGGGAUAACGUAGGGAAACUUACGCUAAUACCGCAUACGACCUACGGGUGAAAGCAGGGGAUCUUCGGACCUUGCGCGAUUGAAUGAGCCGAUGUCGGAUUAGCUAGUUGGCGGGGUAAAGGCCCACCAAGGCGACGAUCCGUAGCUGGUCUGAGAGGAUGAUCAGCCACACUGGAACUGAGACACGGUCCAGACUCCCACGGGAGGCAGCAGUGGGGAAUAUUGGACAAUGGGCGCAAGCCUGAUCCAGCCAUACCGCGUGGGUGAAGAAGGCCUUCGGGUUGUAAAGCCCUUUUGUUGGGAAAGAAAAGCAGCAGGUUAAUACCCCGCUGUUCUGACGGUACCCAAAGAAUAAGCACCGGCUAACUUCGUG
rnacentral:rRNA from 1 species